rnacentral:RNase_P_RNA from 2 species
ACAGCCUGAAAACCGCGAGGCUCGCACUGCACAGGACGCCUCGCGCAUCCACCUUCGCGAGCGGGUUAAGGUCUGAGGAUUCCAAUCCCUCUCGAUCGGCUCUAGCCGGGCCCAGUCUCAACUGACUGCGCGGCGUACCAGAAACGCAACCACAGCGCGUCUGUGUUUUGAAAAGCGUCGCAGGGGUCGGGGAGGCAUCUGCGAGCAUGCAGAGCCUCUCCUUUAGUUCACUUCGCGGUCUCCCCUGGAGAACUCGAUUCAGACUACUCUUUGGCUGU